CAUAGCUGGUUAUUCCUCCCUUGCAUGUACUUUUGUUUCCUGGGGGCACUCGUAGAAGCUGAAGCCACCUAGACUCUAAGACACCUGAUUGCAGAGACAGGAAAGGAGUUCUCAAGAUAAGUGCCAAGAUUUCAUACUGGUUUUCACAAGAAUCAGGGUUGGAAUUAGAGCCGACUCAUUAUUCAGUUAACAUUGACAUUGUUGAUUAGAGACAUAUCCCUAUUGAAAAUAUUUCCUGGCAAAAAAUAGAAGUUCUCUUUGGCUCUGAAAUCUGCAACUCCCUUUCAGAUGUCCCUGUGUCCUUGUACCGUCACUC
rnacentral:lncRNA from 10 species